GUGAACGAGCGACGCCGCGUGCAGGAUGAAGGCCUUCGGGUUGUAAACUCCUGUCGAGGGGGAAGAAGGUCCGCAAGGGCUUGACUGAUCCCUGGAGGAAGCACGGGCUAAGUUCGUGCCAGCAGCCGCGGUAAGACGAACCGUGCGAACGUUAUUCGGAAUCACUGGGCUUAAAGCGCGUGUAGGUGGGGCGGCACGUCGGUCGCUGAAAUCCCCCGGCUUAACCGGGGAACGGGCGCCGAUACGACCGUCCUUGAGGGGCGUAGGGGGGGCUGGAACUUCCGGUGGAGCGGUGAAAUGCGUUGAGAUCGGAAGGAACGCCCGUGGCGAAAGCGAGCCCCUGGACGUCAUCUGACACUGAGACGCGAAAGCCAGGGGAGCGAACGGGAUUAGAUACCCCGGUAGUCCUGGCCGUAAACGAU
rnacentral:rRNA from 1 species